GAGAGGACACAGCAUUAUGGCGACGUAAAUCAUCGUGAAGCUGGUCGGACGUUCUGCGUGUGUUUCACAAGUGCGUAAAACAAAGAAAAGAAUCGCAAUAAAGGAAUAAAGAAAGGAAAAAAUAAGAAGGAAGCAGCAAAGCCCCAUACUGAAGGGGAACGAUUUCGAUCAACAUUUAGAUUUCAUUGAAUUGAUUUUAGAUUAAAAUAAAAAAAAUAUAAGGCUAAAAACCUGUUUUAUGUAUUCCCAGAAAUAGCUUACAAGGAAUUCUUUUUUGAAAGCGUAUAUGCGCAUUCCUAGGUACCAUGUCCCUCUGUCUAUCUGUCUGUCCAUCCAUAUUUACGCUUAGGUCUCGGAAACAAUAAAAGCAAGAAAGUUGGGAUUUGUCAUGUAGAUUUAUUUCAGCAGGGUGCCACGUCCACUUUUACGCCCAAAAGCGCCCAUAACGCUAAAACUGGCUUAGCUCCUACAUUUUUUAAGUUCUUGAACA